rnacentral:siRNA from 1 species
UAACAUACGAUUCUGCGAGUAGA